rnacentral:rRNA from 1 species
AACGAACGCUGGCGGCAUGCCUAACACAUGCAAGUCGAACGAGACCGUCGGGCCUAGUGGCGCUCGGGGGCGUACCGCCGGGGAACCUACCCUUAGGUACGGAAUACCUCCCCGUAAGGGAACCUAAUACCGGUGAAUGUCAUCCGACCAAAGAGUUAUCGCCUGUGGAUGGGCCCGCGUUGGAUUAGCUAGUUGGUAGGGUAAAAGCGUACUAGGGCGACGAUCCAUAGCUGGUCGGAGAGGAUGAUAAGCGGCACUGGGACUGGGACACGGCCCAGACGCCUGCAGAAGGCAGCAAUGGGGAAUAUUGGACGAUGGGCGAAAGCAUGAUCCAGCAAUGCGGGGUGAGUGAUGAAGGCCUUAGGGUUGUAAAGCUCUUUUACCCAGGAUGAUAAUGGCAGUACCGUGAGAAUAAGCUCCGGCUAAAUCCG